rnacentral:tRNA from 1 species
GAGCUUGUAGCUCAGUGGAUUAGAGCAAAUAGCUACGAACUAUUAGGACAGGGGUUCGAAUCCCUUCUUGCUCA